GAUGAACGCUGGCGGCGUGCCUAAUACAUGCAAGUCGAGCGAACGGACGAGAAGCUUGCUUCUCUGAUGUUAGCGGCGGACGGGUGAGUAACACGUGGAUAACCUACCUAUAAGACUGGGAUAACUUCGGGAAACCGGAGCUAAUACCGGAUAAUAUUUUGAACCGCAUGGUUCAAAAGUGAAAGACGGUCUUGCUGUCACUUAUAGAUGGAUCCGCGCUGCAUUAGCUAGUUGGUAAGGUAACGGCUUACCAAGGCAACGAUGCAUAGCCGACCUGAGAGGGUGAUCAGCCACACUGGAACUGAGACACGGUCCAGACUCCUACGGGAGGCAGCAGUAGGGAAUCUUCCGCAAUGGGCGAAAGCCUGACGCAGCAACGCCGCGUGAGUGAUGAAGGUCUUCGGAUCGUAAAACUCUGUUAUUAGGGAAGAACAUAUGUGUAAGUAACUGUGCACAUCUUGACGGUACCUACUCAGAAAGCCACGGCUAACUACGUG
rnacentral:rRNA from 1 species